AAGACCAACUCACUGACCUCAUUAUACAUGUACAGUGAAGGAAAGAGAUCCACAGCUGGGUCAAUGAGUCUGGAACCAGAGGCUCCAGUGUCCUUCAAAUCUCCAAACAUCUCCACCCAUCUCAUGUGCUGUCACACAGCCCGGAGUGGAGCUGCUUCCUAGUAUCCCCGGCUGGGCCGGUUCCAGCAGAGAAGAGACAAAAUGGAGAGAGAACUGCCUGGUGCCAAGCUUCAGCCGCGUGGAGGACUUUAAUCUGGGAAACUCCAAUCAUCCCUCAUGUAUGGAUAAUGUUCUAUUCUAAUCAUGUUUGCAAUCAUUCAGAAGACUUUUGACUUUUUGUUUUACCAUUAGUAAAAAUCAAUCCAAUUUAACUGUUGCAGACUAUACAUUUUUUGGUAAGAAAGUUUCAAUCAUAUUGAGAUGAUUAGCAGUUUCUUUUACAUGGAGAAUUGAAGGAAAGCACAAA